rnacentral:rRNA from 1 species
UACAGAGGGUGCAAGCGUUAAUCGGAAUGACUGGGCGUAAAGGGCGCGUAGGUGGUUAUUUAAGUUGGAUGUGAAAUCCCUGGGCUUAACCUAGGAACUGCAUUCAAUACUGGGUAACUUGAGUAUGGGAGAGGGUAGUGGAAUUUCCGGUGUAGCGGUGAAAUGCGUAGAUAUCGGAAGGAACAUCAGUGGCGAAGGCGACUGCCUGGCCCAAUACUGACACUGAGGCGCGAAAGCGUGGGUAGCGAACAGG